GAGUGUAGAGCAGGUGAAAAUGUUUGUUUUAGAUGUGGAGCAUCCGAUCACUUUAUCCGGGAUUGUCCUGAAACAACUAAAAGAGAAGAAAUAACGAGUGCGAGAUCAGGUAAUGCUCCUACCAGAGGUAGACCGCAGAGAAACCCAGGAGUGGGGGCGAGUAAUAGGAGUGCAUCCAGAGAUUCAGCAGCGAGAUCAGAUGUUAGAGCACCCGCGAGAACAUAUGCUAUUCGUGCUCGUGAAGAGGCGUCCUCUCCUGAUAUAAUUACGGAUCAAGAAGUACGAAACUCGAGGUUAGACAAAGGGAAGAAUAAAGUUGAAGACUAAGUUGGUGAAUUUGGCUAUAAUUGGUACCGAGUAUUGCAAAGCUACUUCAAGGAUCCUAAAGAAGUCGGAGAUCGUCCACACUAUCAACCACAACCGCU